UAGGGAAUCUUCCGCAAUGGGCGAAAGCUUGACGGAGCAACGCCGCGUGAGUGAUGAAGGUCUUCGGAUCGUAAAACUCUGUUAUUAGGGAAGAACAAAUGUGUAAGUAACUAUGCACGUCUUGACGGUACCUAAUCAGAAAGCCACGGCUAACAACGUGCCAGCAGCCGCGGUAAUACGUAGGUGGCAAGCGUUAUCCGGAAUUAUUGGGCGUAAAGCGCGCGUAGGCGGUUUUUUAAGUCUGAUGUGAAAGCCCACGGCUCAACCGUGGAGGGUCAUUGGAAACUGGAAAACUUGAGUGCAGAAGAGGAAAGUGGAAUUCCAUGUGUAGCGGUGAAAUGCGCAGAGAUAUGGAGGAACACCAGUGGCGAAGGCGACUUUCUGGUCUGUAACUGACGCUGAUGUGCGAAAGCGUGGGGAUCAAACAGG
rnacentral:rRNA from 1 species